rnacentral:misc_RNA from 1 species
CCAAGCAACUAGAUCUACUAUCAGAUAAGAGCUAAUGAACUAAGUGAAUGUAAAAACUGUUCAGCAUCUUUUCGGGGGAACAGUUUAGUCUGUGGAGACAUUAGUGAGAAACCGGUUUGUUGCCUCAAACGUGUCUUGGUGUUUCCUGAUAAUCAGUGUUAACGAGUUGUUUGUGUCUUUAUACACGUAACGCUAUUUCUAUUGAGUGAAAAAUUAAUUACUCGAAUCUUUAAUAGCUAAUUAAUUCGAUAUAUCCACACACCUUUGACUGGAUUUCAUUCAUUGUAUUCAGGAACCAACUGAUUACAAAGGGAAUUGUACAGAAAUGGUAGAUUCCACACCUCAAGCAAAUGUUCAAGCUCUUAGGGCAUUGUUUGCCCAAAGAAAUGACCCUGUAAUGGGAGUGAUGCAAGUAGGCUCACGAUUAACUUCUAUCCGGAAUUCUUCAUAUGAAAAAAAUACUGAAGAGAAAAUUACCAAGCCAUCAGUUAAUGAAAAUUCCAGUAUGAAACCUAAUGUUGGUUAUCCUAUGGGAAAGUCUGUAUCCACUAGUUCCAUACUUAUUGCAAAGUCAAAUUUGUUUACUAAAACAAAUACACUACCAGUUCAACAAAGUUCAGCAUCUGUAGUAUCCAAUGGCUCAACCUCAGAGUCUAGUCCUGUGGGUUCUAGCAAACCUAAGCCAAUUCUGGGACCAAAGCCAACAAUUGCUGUCAAGCCUGUGAAAUCAUUUUCAUCAUCCUCAGUUGGGAACAGUAGUUCUGGUAAGGCUACUAACAGUAUGUGUAUAUCAAGAAGUAGUAGCUCGUUAAACAGUCAGUCAACAGACAGCAUUGCUUCGGGUAAUGCAGAAGAGGUGGAUGAACAGAAAAACUGUAAUAAUGUUUCUGAAACUAUUACUCAAUCUAAUCUUCAGUCUGAUAAUCCACCUGUUGUAUCAUUUACAGUGAAGUUACCUUAUGAAAAUAAUACAGAUGGUAUUAAACAAAGUGGAAACAACUCAAAUGCAUCACCUAAGAGUGUUCUUAAACAUUUUGACUCUUCUAGUGUAAUUAAUUCAGAAAACUAUAUAUGUAAAGCAAACUUACGUUAUCGAAAGAAACUUUUACCUCCAGUAGAAAAACUAGGAAAUCCUCCAUUGAAAGCACCAAAAGCCUUUCAGUGUUGUUCUUCCCACUCCAGAUAUGUCCACAUUUAGAAAUAAAGGAACUGCACCCCCUCUUCCAUCAAGGACAGUUCCAUCAUCUGUGCAAAAUAGUGUACCAGAACUUCCUCAGCGACCAAAAAGACUUCCCCCUCGUCCUCCAAUAUUAGAAUCAAAUCAUCCUGUUACAUCACAGCCAUAUCCUGUUCCUGCAGUAAGGAGAAAAAAACUGCCAAUGCUGCCAGACAGUGAAUCUCACUCUGCAGAAGAGGAGUUGUAUGAAGACACCAUUGUAAAUGAAAAUUCAGAACCAGUGAUUCCAGAAUAUACAGAAGAACAAGAAGCUGAAGAUGAGUUGUAUGAUGAUACAGACAUGCAACCCCCUCCACUUCCUAGCCAACCACCACCUUCUAGGCCAAGAUAUGCACCACCACCACCACCUCCUUCAGGCAGUAUUGGCCUUGAUAACACCUUGGGAGAGGAACUCUACCAGGAUGCUAUGGAUAAUCCAGUUGAAGAAGAUCUUUAUGAAGAGAUGCCUGCUGAUACAAUUUCAAAUGAUGAAGCAAAUGGGCCUAUGUACAGUAACCGAAAAGAAGAACUGCGAUUUAAGAAAGAAGAAGAGAAACAACGGAGAAAAGAACAGAAGGAAAAGGAAAAGAAAGACAGAGAGCUUGAAAAACUUAGGAAAAAAUAUUUGAUAACAGGUGACGAAUUACCAGUGGAUACUGGGGUGGUCAAGUGUGACAGUCGAGGAGGACGGUUAGACUUAACAGUUAAAAAAGGUGAAGUCCUGGAAAUAUUGCGCAUGGAAAACAAUCCCUCAGGAAAAUGGCUUGUACGAAAUGACCGAGCAAAAAUUGGGUAUGUGGAACUGACAAACAUUCAAGUUGAUGCCAACUCAAUAAAAUCUGAUUCUCUCCCAUCGAGAACAAAGACGUCAACUGUCCACCCUCUGGUUGAUCUUGCCAGUGAGAGAGCCCAAACAUGGUUGGCUAAGUUAACUGCCUGUGUGAGGUAAUGGUGACAAGAGCGUCCAUGCAGAAUUUGGCUGAAGAAUUGUAUAAUGAUGCUGAAACAGAAGAAGCAUUAUAUGAAGAAACCUUUUGAA